UGGCAAAACCGCUGAAAGGCGGUGACGCAAAGCUAUAGGGCCCUAAGUCAGGGUAGCCAGUUGC
rnacentral:ncRNA from 1 species